rnacentral:rRNA from 1 species
ACCUACGGGAGGCAGCAGUGAGGAAUAUUGGUCAAUGGCCGCAGGGCUGAACCAGCCAGGUCGCGUGAGGGAUGACGGUCCUAUGGAUUGUAAACCUCUUUUGUCAGGGAGCAAAGGGCGCCACGUGUGGCGCUUUGCGAGUACCUGAAGAAAAAGCAUCGGCUAACUCCGUGCCAGCAGCCGCGGUAAUACGGAGGAUGCGAGCGUUAUCCGGAUUUAUUGGGUUUAAAGGGUGCGUAGGCGGCCUUUUAAGUCAGCGGUGAAAGUCUGUGGCUCAACCAUAGAAUUGCCGUUGAAACUGGGAG